UGAGUGAAGGCCAUGUUGAGUGAAGGCCAUGCUGAGCGAAGGCCAUGCUGAGUGAAGACCAUGCUGAGUGAAGGCCAUGCUGAGUGAAGGCUGUGUUGAGUGAAGGCUGUGUUGAGUGAAGGCCAUGCUGAAUGAAGGCCAUAUUGAGUGAAGGCCAUGCUGAGUGAAGGCUGUGUUGAGUGAAGGCCAUGCUGAGUGAAGACCAUAUUGAGUGAAGGCCAUGCUGAGUGAAGGCCGUAUUGAGUGAAGGCCAUGCUGAGCUGAAACUCCAGGCUGCUGCUCAAGAGAAGAGCUGUCAGGAGCCCUGGCAGCCACUCCAGGAUUGACGUGGCGUUCCAUUGCAGUCGCUGCACCUCCAUCCGUGGGAUGUGCAGCUCUAAUUAGCAAAGCCUUGAGGUGAGUUGGGAAUGUUUAAUCUCAAUCUUUUUUCUUCUUCUUUUUUUAUUUCCUUUCUCUUCUUUGCCGUGAAGCAGCCUCUCAAAGACUCGAUGAAAUCUGCAUUAUGAGUUAAGGGGAAACUGGAAGUGCCAAGAGUUCAAAUUAAUCUUUUCAUUACUUUGUGUAAAUUGAGUGAACUUUUGAAUUGCAUUAAUACACAAACUAAUCUCCUCU
rnacentral:lncRNA from 1 species